rnacentral:lncRNA from 1 species
CAAGGUUUACGUUACAACACAGGGCACUCAAUUGGUAUAUGAUACUCUAGCACUGCUUCUGGCAAUAAGCAGUGAAACCACUUCAACCCUAUGUAUGUGGAUUCUUAUUUCAGCUGCAACUGCACUUGCAACAGCUAGGUACUACUUUUCUCUGUGUCCAGUUAGGGAAAGUACGUUGACGACAAAAUAGUAUCGACACUGUUGCGAGUCACUGUUUGUAAACGGGCAAACCCCAUGCAAAUCCCAGCACUACAAUGUCUCCAUGCAAAACUUUCCCAAGUCCUGCAAAAGCUCCGCCACGUUAUCUUCUGAUAGUGUGUGUGUUUGGGUUGAGCCAAUGUCAGGUCGACCCUACGAGUAUUUGCUAUGUAUCUCUGACGUAGCGGUCUGAUUUCAAACAAACACUGAAAAAGCUGUGGCAAGUGAUUUCAUCAGGGAUUUCGGAGGUGUCUCCUAAGGAGCUUAACUCUCUUGUUCUGAGGUGGGAGAGCCAUUUGUUUUUGUGGCUUUCGACUUCACUUAGAGGAUUGAGAUCUACCUUCAAGCACGCCGCAGUUGUGUCUCUGCUUGUAAUGUUGUCCUGAGAGGAAAUUAAUGUUUGUGGCGGUAGGCCCCCGCCACAGGCCCGGUGACAGGAGCGGUGUGGGCAGAAAUAACCUCUGGUCUGAUGAAGUAAGAGACCGGAGAUGACGAUGUGAUAGACCGGGAUAAACGCUACCGUUCAGGAUCCUCCCCUUCGUCCACGUUACUCAUUCAGCGCUGGCAUGCGUCUGGGGCUGUUGUAGUGACGUCAUGUUACCGUCAGUGUGACUCACUUCCGAAGCGCGAUGAGCAAUGCAAUGAGUUAUAACAACAAUGCUUUUUACUACACCCCAGUCCAAAUAUGGACGGCUACGUUGGAACCAAAGAAAGCUUAAUGCGAUCGAUGGCAGAGGCCCUUUCAAGAUCAGUGCCAGUAUAAGCAUCUCUUCCCCUAACGCCCAGCGCG